CCUACGGGAGGCAGCAGUGGGGAAUCUUGCGCAAUGGGCGAAAGCCUGACGCAGCGACGCCGCGUGGGGGAAGAAGGCUUUCGGGUUGUAAACCCCUUUCAGGAGGGACGAAGCCACUCGGGUGAAUAGCCCAGAGGGUGACGGUACCUCCAGAAGAAGCCCCGGCUAACUACGUGCCAGCAGCCGCGGUAAUACGUAGGGGGCAAGCGUUGUCCGGAUUUAUUGGGCGUAAAGAGCGUGUAGGCGGCCAUGUAGGUCCGUUGUGAAAACUCGAGGCUCAACCUCGAGACGCCGAUGGAAACCAUGUGGCUAGAGUCCGGAAGAGGAGAGUGGAAUUCCUGGUGUAGCGGUGAAAUGCGCAGAUAUCAGGAAGAACACCCGUGGCUAAGGCGGCUCUCUAGUACGGUACUGACGCUGAGACGCGAAAGCGUGGGGAGCGA
rnacentral:rRNA from 1 species